rnacentral:rRNA from 1 species
UCAUUAUUGAAUAAACCUGAUAGGUUCGUGCUGGUUCCUCUGGGCACAUGCACACGCGUCUUCUUUUUAUCUCUACACGUGCRCACCUUGUAUUGUCUGAGAGUAUAGUGUGCGCGAAGCUUCUCGGGAAUCACCCUUGAUGCUAGUAGUGCAAGUUCCUCUGGGUCUAUGUCUUUCAUAUACCACAUAGAAUGUAUUAGAAAGCUUUUAUUGGGCCUCAGUGCCUAUAAAACACAAUACAACUUUCAGCAACGGAUCUCUUGGCUCUCGCAUCGAUGAAGAACGCAGCGAAAUGCGAUAAGUAAUGUGAAUUGCAGAAUUCAGUGAAUCAUCGAAUCUUUGAACGCACCUUGCGCUCCUUGGUAUUCCGAGGAGCAUGCCUGUUUGAGUGUCAUUUAAUUCUCAAUCCCCACCAGUUUGUUGUGACUGGCUUGGUGGAUUGGAUGUGGGGGUUUUGUUUGCGGGCCUCCUCAGAGGUCGGCUCCCCUGAAAAGCAUUAGCGGAACCGUUUGCGGAACCCGUCACUGGUGUGAUAAUUAUCUACGCCAAAGACAACUGCUCUCUGGUAGUUCUGCUUCUAAUCGUCCUUUUACUUGGACAAUGAUAUAUCUGAAUGCUUGACCUCAAAUCAGGUAGGACUACCCGCUGAACUUAAGCAUAUCAAUAAGCGGAGGAAAAGAAACUAACAAGGAUUCCCCUAGUAACUGCGAGUGAAGCGGGAAAAGCUCAAAUUUAAAAUCUGGCGGUCUUUGGCCGUCCGAGUUGUAAUCUAGAGAAGCGUUACCCGCGCUGGACCGUGUACAAGUCUCCUGGGAUGGAGCAUCAUAGAGGGUGAGAAUCCCGUCUCUGACACGGACUACCAGGGCUUUGUGGUGCGCUCUCAAAGAGUCGAGUUGUUUGGGAAUGCAGCUCUAAACGGGUGGUAAAUUCCAUCUAAAGCUAAAUAUUGGCGAGAGACCGAUAGCGAACAAGUACCGUGAGGGAAAGAUGAAAAGAACUUUGGAAAGAGAGUUAAACAGUACGUGAAAUUGCUGAAAGGGAAACGCUUGAAGUCAGUCGCGUUGGCCGGGGAUCAGCCUCGCUCUUGCGUGGUGUACUUCCUGGUUGACGGGUCAGCAUCAAUUUUGACCGCUGGAAAAGGACUUGGGGAAUGUGGCAUCUUCGGAUGUGUUAUAGCCCUUUGUCGCAUACAGCGGUUGGGAUUGAGGAACUCAGCACGCCGUAAGGCCGGGUGAUAACCACUUUCGUGCUUAGGAUGCUGGCAUAAUGGCUUUAAUCGACCCGUCUUGAAACACGGACCAAGGAGUCUAACAUGCCUGCGAGUGUUUGGGUGGAAAACCCGAGCGCGCAAUGAAAGUGAAAGUUGAGAUCCCUGUCGUGGGGAGCAUCGACGCCCGGACCAGAACUUUUGGGACGGAUCUGCGGUAGAGCAUGUAUGUUGGGACCCGAAAGAUGGUGAACUAUGCCUGAAUAGGGUGAAGCCAGAGGAAACUCUGGUGGAGGCUCGUAGCGAUUCUGACGUGCAAAUCGAUCGUCAAAUUUGGGUAUAGGGGCGAAAGACUAAUCGAACCAU